rnacentral:rRNA from 1 species
AUUGAACGCUGGCGGCAGGCUUAACACAUGCAAGUCGAGCGAGUGGCGGACGGGUGAGUAAUGUCUGGGAAACUGCCUGAUGGAGGGGGCUAACUACUGGAAACGGUAGCUAAUACCGCAUACCAUCAGAUGUGCCCAGAUGGGAUUAGCUAGUAGGUGGGGUAACGGCUCACCUAGGCGACGAUCCCUAGCUGGUCUGAGAGGAUGACCAGCCACACUGGAACUGGGACACGGGCCAAACUCCUACGGGGGGCGACAGUGGGGAAUUUUGCACAAUGGGCGCAAGCCUGCUGCAGCCCUGCCGCGGGGGUGGAAAAGGCCUUCGGGUUGUAAAACACUUUCAGCGAGGAGGCGUUACUCGCAGAAAAAGCACCGGCUAACUCCGUGCCAGCAGCCGCGGUAAUAC